GUUUAAACGAUGAUCUAACUGUCACUGUAAUUUUUCCCAAUAAUGAACAAUUGCCACUAAAGGAGAAAAUUAAUUCAUAUGACAACACCUACGAUUACUUAAAAUCGGUUGAAAGAUGGCCUUUGUGCGUUGGUACUCAGAUUGACGACAAUAAAUUUUGUAAAGGUGUGAUUAUUGGUGAUGAUACUUACGAAAGAAAUCAACAGUACCCAAGAUGUAAAUCUUGUCGAAUAUUACGAAAUCGUUUGCAGAACCGUAAUUCCACUUCAACUCUAUUACAAAAAAUGGCAGAAGCUAAACGGCGCGCUUCAAAUCUUGUACAUAAAUGCAAGCGUCUGAAGAGGACGGUAAGUCUUAUGCCGGCUACAUACGUAACGAUAAAUCGUUGCGAUAAAACUGUGCAGUCCGACUGUGCAGAUAAAUCGAACCGUGUGUAUGACAAAUCGUUACGAUAAUCGACAAUCGGACAAUCGGACUGCACAGUUUUAUCGCAACGAUUUAUCGUUACGUAUGUAGCCGGCAUUAAAGCCGUA